AUUGAACGCUAGCGGCAUGCUUUACACAUGCAAGUCGAACGAGUGGCGGACUGGUGAGUAAUAUAUCGGAACGUGCCCAGUAGCGGGGGAUAACUACUCGAAAGCGUGGCUCAUACUGCAUACUAUUCGAUCGGCCGUUAUGGGAUUAGCUAGUUGGUGGGGUAAAGGCUCACCAAGGCAACGAUCCGUAGCUGGUUUGAGAGGACGACCAGCCACACUGGGACUGAGACACGGCCCAGACUCCUACGGGAGGCAGCAGUGGGGAAUUUUGGACAAUGGGGGAAACCCUGAUCCAGCCAUCCCGCGUGUAUGAGAAGGCCUUCGGGUUGUAAAGUACUUUUGGCAGAGAAGCGGUAUCUGCAGAAUAAGCAACGGCUAACUACGUGCCAGCAGCCGCGGUAAUUC
rnacentral:rRNA from 1 species